UACGUAGGAAGCAAGCGUUGUCCGGAAUUACUGGGCGUAAAGCGCGUGUAGGCGGUACGACAAGUCUGCUGUGAAAGCGCCCGGCUUAACCGGGCGAGGUCGGUGGAAACUGUCGCACUGGAGGCCGGUAGAGGGGGGUGGAAUUCCCGGUGUAGUGGUGAAAUGCGUAGAGAUCGGGAGGAACACCUGUGGCGAAGGCGGCCCCCUGGGCCGCGCCUGACGCUGAGACGCGAAAGCGUGGGGAGCGAUCCGG
rnacentral:rRNA from 1 species